rnacentral:rRNA from 1 species
UGCAGGCGGCCUGUUAAGUCAGAUGUGAAAGCCCGGGGCUUAACCUCGGAAUUGCAUUUGAAACUGGCAGGCUAGAGUCUUGUAGAGGGGGGUAGGAAUUUCAGGUGUAGCGGUGAAAUGCGUAGAGAUCUGAAGGAAUACCAGUGGCGAAGGCGGCCCCCUGGACAAAGACUGACGCUCAGAUGCGAAAGCGUGGGGAGCAAACAGGAUUAGAUACCCUGGUAG